rnacentral:rRNA from 1 species
UGGGGAAUUUUGGACAAUGGGCGAAAGCCUGAUCCAGCCAUGCCGCGUGCAGGAUGAAGGCCUUCGGGUUGUAAACUGCUUUUGUACGGAACGAAAAGACUCUGGUUAAUACCUGGGGGUCCAUGACGGUACCGUAAGAAUAAGCACCGGCUAACUACGUGCCAGCAGCCGCGGUAAUACGUAGGGUGCAAGCGUUAAUCGGAAUUACUGGGCGUAAAGCGUGCGCAGGCGGUUAUAUAAGACAGAUGUGAAAUCCCCGGGCUCAACCUGGGAACUGCAUUUUGUGACUGUAUAGCUAGAGUACGGCAGAGGGGGAUGGAAUUCCGCGUGUAGCAGUGAAAUGCGUAGAUAUGCGGAGGAACACCGAUGGCGAAGGCAA